rnacentral:misc_RNA from 1 species
UCUCCGUAGGUGAACCUGCGGAGGGAUCAUUACAGAGUUCAUGCCCUACCGGGUAGAUCUCCCACCCUAUGUUAUUAAUACUUUGUUGCUUUGGCGGGCCGUUAGGCUCCGGCCCGACUACCGGCCCCGGCUGGUAAGCGCCCGCCAGAGGACCCAAAACCUUGAAUAUUAGUGUCGUCUGAGUACUAUAUAAUAGUUAAAACUUUCAACAACGGAUCUCUUGGUUCUG